AUAAUUACUUACUAUAAUUUGCCCAUGUCAUCUUUAAUUGUUAUGUUAAUGCAAUUUUUAUCACAGGGUGAUGAUAUGAAUAAUUUAAAUUAAAUUAUCAAGGUGGCUGCGCCAUGUGCAAUUGAAAUAGAGAGCGAUCCACAAACAAUUUAUCACGUAGUUUUAGAACGACAAGUAGUGAUUCCAAGUGUUGUCACUUUAAAAGAUGCAGUAUCUUGGGCGUUUGGAUUAUAUUUUAUAAUGAAUUUAGAAUAUCCAGACGAAGUAUCAGCAGUUUUGGAAAUGAUGCAAAGAUUUUUUUUGAAAAUACAUCCAGAUCAAGGAUCCAAAUCAAAAAGAAUAACACCAACAAAACGCAAAGUAAUUGGCCUUAUGAACAAAUUAAAUUAAUGUAAAGUAUAUACAACAUCAAUGACUUUGUUUUGUGUUUAUGAUUUUAUUACAUGUUUAUUAUGUUUUUCACCAUAAAAUAAAAGGUUCACUUUGUC